rnacentral:rRNA from 1 species
UACGUAGGGUGCGAGCGUUGUCCGGAAUUAUUGGGCGUAAAGAGCGUGUAGGCGGCUCGAUAAGUCCGCUGUGAAAAGUCCAGGGCUCAACCCUGGAAGGCCGGUGGAAACUGUCGGGCUAGAGUCCGGAAGAGGCGAGUGGAAUUCCCGGUGUAGUGGUGAAAUGCGUAGAUAUCGGGAGGAACACCAGUGGCGAAGGCGACUUCCUGGCCUGUUCUUGACGCUGAGGCGCGAAAGCUAGGGGAGCAAACGGG